AGUAGUUCAACAGGUAGCCAUCCUCUCUUAACCUCUCCAUCUUCCAUUUCACUUGCUUUUCACAGUUCUCAUCAAUAUCGAUUUCUUCUGCUUAUCUCUCUCCUUCAAGAUGAUCUUCUCCAGUCCUUUCGAUUCCAUUCCCAAUCGUUCGUCUCAACUCGCUGACUAUUCAUUUCUUCGGCCAAGGUAAAUAAUAUAUUUGAUUUCAGUUUUUUCUCAAAUCCAUCUUUAUUAGGUCAAAUUAUUAGAUUUACUUCGGCCAAGUACUAUUGUUCAUAUGAAGCUAGUAGUGAUAUUUCAUAGAGUAGAGAGUUAAUAUCAGUUUUCGAGGUUUUAUUUUUGGUUCAAUUAUAGAUUGUGAAACUUAUUGACUUGAUUCAGUGACGCUGAAUCAGAUCCGUAAAGCUUCUCAAUCUGGAGAUGAUAAAUCAAAUUUUCUUAUCGAUGUUACUGAAAUAAGUCAUGUAUGAAAUCUGAAAAACUCUAAGCAUUUUGGUGCUCUGUUUCUCUUAAUGAAGUAAGACCGAUUCUGUAUAUUAAUUUUGUUGAGGUCACAUUCAUUAUCUUAUUUUUGUUUGUUUCUAUUGAUAAUUCUUCACCUCUUCAAAUGUUAGUCUACAAGGUGUUCGACGAAAUGCUUACAAGAACAUCUUUGUCUUCAGAUGGAUAUGCAACUUUUAAUUUUAAUAUAAGAUUGAGCUUGAAGAUCUAGUGGAAUAUGUUGAAAUCAAGUUAGUGAGAUUAGUUGGAGCAAAGAAAAAUGAUCUUACAGGUUCUAAGAUCUUAAUUGGUCUGAACUAGGUUUAGUUCAUCCAUAUUCUCUAGUCAAGCAAACAAAGAAGAAGAAAAUGGUAUCACUGUUUUUAGAUUUUGAUAUAAAUACGAGAGGCGCAGAGAUAAAAAAGUUUGUCUCCAAUGUAAGGGAUUACUUUGAUGACAAUGGAUUACAAUAAGAAAAGAAUAUUGUUGAGAACCGGAUUGAAUGUAACAUGAUACAACCGUUC